AAAUUGAAGAGUUUGAUCAUGGCUCAGAUUGAACGCUGGGGGCAGGCCUAACACAUGCAAGUCGAACGGUAACAGGAAGCAGCUUGCUGCUUUGCUGACGAGUGGCGGACGGGUGAGUAAUGUCUGGGAAACUGCCUGAUGGAGGGGGAUAACUACUGGAAACGGUGGCUAAUACCGCAUAACGUCGCAAGACCAAAGAGGGGGACCUUCGGGCCUCUUGCCAUCAGAUGUGCCCAGAUGGGAUUAGCUAGUUGGUGAGGUAACGGCUCACCAAGGCGACGAUCCC
rnacentral:rRNA from 1 species